ACGCACGCUGGCGGCGUGCUUCACCCAUGCAAGUCGAACGCUGAAGCUCAGCUUUUGUUGGGUGGAUGAGUGGCGAACGGGUGAGUAACACGUGAGUAACCUGCCCCCUUCUUUGGGAUAACGCCCGGAAACGGGUGCUAAUACUGGAUAUUCACUGGUCUUCGCAUGGGGGUUGGUGGAAAGGGUUUUUCUGGUGGGGGAUGGGCUCGCGGCCUAUCAGCUUGUUGGUGGGGUGAUGGCCUACCAAGGCUUUGACGGGUAGCCGGCCUGAGAGGGUGACCGGUCACAUUGGGACUGAGAUACGGCCCAGACUCCUACGGGAGGCGGCAGUGGGGAAUAUUGCACAAUGGGCGCAAGCCUGAUGCAGCGACGCCGCGUGAGGGAUGGAGGCCUUCGGGUUGUGAACCUCUUUCGCUCAUGGUCAAGCCGCAACAAUGGUUGUGGUGAGGGUAGUGGGUAAAGAAGCGCCGGCUAACUACGUG
rnacentral:rRNA from 1 species